AUGGCUCGGUGUCUGUGUUCAUGAGCCCUCAGCCAGCUCACGGUGUCCCUGCUGGCUGUGGGAUUCAGGCAGGGACCGGUGCAGGCUCAGCAAGACCCUGCUGCAGCCUGGAGACAGCCGCAGGGCUGGGCUGGGUGUGCAGGUCUGAAGCGGGGACAGAGGAUUUGGUGCUGAACCGGCUUGUUUUGGCUCUGAGCUUCUUAGGACCAUGCCAAAGGGCACCAGGAGUCAGCAGGAUGAUAUCCUCUGCCUUCAGCGAGCAGAGCCAGGUCCCUCAAUUGCUUUAUCUUGAAAGCCACAUCCAUUUUCCCUGCCAGCCCCUUGGGCUGAAACCUCUUUGGCAGGCAAUGCAGAAGGGUUUCCUUCACCCAAUGCGAAGAGAUGCUGAGCCUGAGCUGAGCUUUUGUGAUAAGAAUAAUUGUUACCAACAGCCAA